UACGUAGGGGGCGAGCGUUGUCCGGAUUUAUUGGGCGUAAAGAGCGUGUAGGCGGCCAGGUAGGUCUGCUGUGAAAACUCGAGGCUCAACCUCGAGACAUCGGCGGAAACCAUCUGGCUAGAGUCCGGAAGAGGAGAGUGGAAUUCCUGGUGUAGCGGUGAAAUGCGCAGAUAUCAGGAAGAACACCCGUGGCGAAGGCGGCUCUCUGGGACGGUACUGACGCUGAGACGCGAAAGCGUGGGGAGCGAACAGG
rnacentral:rRNA from 1 species